rnacentral:rRNA from 1 species
GAUGAACGCUGGCGGCGUGCCUAAUACAUGCAAGUCGAGCGAACGGACGAGAAGCUUGCUUUUCUGAUGUUAGCGGCGGACGGGUGAGUAACACGUGGAUAACCUACCUAUAAGACCGGGAUAACUUCGGGAAACCGGAGCUAAUACCGGAUAAUAUUUUGAACCGCAUGGUUCAAAAGUGAAAGACGGUCUUGCUGUCACUUAUAGAUGGAUCCGCGCUGCAUUAGCUAGUUGGUAAGGUAACGGCUUACCAAGGCAACGAUGCAUAGCCGACCUGAGAGGGUGAUCGGCCACACUGGAACUGAGACACGGUCCAGACUCCUACGGGAGGCAGCAGUAGGGAAUCUUCCGCAAUGGGCGAAAGCCUGACGGAGCAACGCCGCGUGAGUGAUGAAGGUCUUCGGAUCGUAAAACUCUGUUAUUAGGGAAGAACAUAUGUGUAAGUAACUGUGCACAUCUUGACGGUACCUAAUCAGAAAGCCACGGCUAACUACGUGCCAGCAGCCGCGGUAAUACGUAGGUGGCAAGCGUUAUCCGGAAUUAUUGGGCGUAAAGCGCGCGUAGGCGGUUUUUUAAGUCUGAUGUGAAAGCCCACGGCUCAACCGUGGAGGGUCAUUGGAAACUGGAAAACUUGAGUGCAGAAGAGGAAAGUGGAAUUCCAUGUGUAGCGGUGAAAUGCGCAGAGAUGUGGAGGAACACCAGUGGCGAAGGCGACUUUCUGGUCUGUAACUGACGCUGAUGUGCGAAAGCGUGGGGAUCAAACAGGAUUAGAUACCCUGGUAGUCCACGCCGUAAACGAUGAGUGCUAAGUGUUAGGGGGUUUCCGCCCCUUAGUGCUGCAGCUAACGCAUUAAGCACUCCGCCUGGGGAGUACGACCGCAAGGUUGAAACUCAAAGGAAUUGACGGGGGCCCGCACAAGCGGUGGAGCAUGUGGUUUAAUUCGAAGCAACGCGAAGAACCUUACCAAAUCUUGACAUCCUUUGACAACUCUAGAGAUAGAGCCUUCCCCUUCGGGGGACAAAGUGACAGGUGGUGCAUGGUUGUCGUCAGCUCGUGUCGUGAGAUGUUGGGUUAAGUCCCGCAACGAGCGCAACCCUUAAGCUUAGUUGCCAUCAUUAAGUUGGGCACUCUAAGUUGACUGCCGGUGACAAACCGGAGGAAGGUGGGGAUGACGUCAAAUCAUCAUGCCCCUUAUGAUUUGGGCUACACACGUGCUACAAUGGACAAUACAAAGGGCAGCGAAACCGCGAGGUCAAGCAAAUCCCAUAAAGUUGUUCUCAGUUCGGAUUGUAGUCUGCAACUCGACUACAUGAAGCUGGAAUCGCUAGUAAUCGUAGAUCAGCAUGCUACGGUGAAUACGUUCCCGGGUCU